rnacentral:rRNA from 1 species
GCUGCCCAUUGGAUACUGUUCGGGNUUGAAUCCUGNUGCCNGUGGGAGGAAUGAGUAGUGUAGCGGUGAAAUGCNUNGAUAUUACUCAGAAACACCGAUNGCGAAGGUCAUCUCACGAAACAGGCAUNGACGCUGAGGCCACGAAAGCGUGGGGAUCAAACNGGAUUAGAUACCCCUGGUAGUUCCACGCAGUAAACGAUGAUGACUAACCGUUGGCGAUACACANUCAGUGGCCAAGCGAAAGCGAUAAGUCAUCCACCUGGGGAGUACGA